rnacentral:misc_RNA from 1 species
GUGAUGAUAACAAAAAAGAGUUUGAACAAAGGAAGUGAGAGGAGUUCUGCAGAGCAAGGAAACUUGUUUGAAUUUGGAAUUCUUAAUGGUAAAUUAAAAAAAAAAAAAUCAGUCUUGAUUCAACAAAAUAUACUAUGAUAUUGUGAAGUUCCUAAGAAACUAAAAUAUCAUCCAAUAAUUGUGCAUAAGAAUUGAACAAAAAUAUUGCACAAUGGAUGGUUACUCAGAAAUUACUAGUGAAACAUUUUUUUUUUUUGAAUGAUAAGGCAUAACAAUCUAAUGUCUGGUAUAUAAAAUAAAAGAAAUAUUCAGGUAAGAUGAGAUAAAAAGAAUCAAAUGUUGCUGUUACCUUAGACCUUUUAGAGGAUUCUGAACUCUGUGGAGAGAUCACAUCAGCUGAAGAAGCUAACAAACCAGAACGUGAUUCUGAGGCCACAUCAACCGAUGCAUUGGAAGCAGUUGAAAUACUUGAACAAACGGCACUUGCAGAAGAGCUUCCUGCAGAAGUGGACCUUUCAAAGCAUUGAUUGUCUGGUUCAACAAGUGCAGAUGUUGGAUCACAAGAUACACCAUUAGGUAACAGCUUUGUCAUCUUUUGCCCUUCCCCAUCAGCCUUGGUUUCUGAAAGGCAUAAAUUGGAGAUUGAACUUGAGCUUUGAACUUCAUCAUCACUCUUCUCCAUUUGAAGUUCAUACUUGUGUUUGUGAUGAUCCUGCUCGCCUUGUGACCAGUUAUCUCCAAUCUGUCUUCCAAUAACUGCAGAAUCAAAAGCUUCUUCACUUUUUGAAAUAUUAAUUGAAAUAUUUAUCCUUUCUCUCUUCCCAGGUUCAACUUCUGUGGCCGUUGCUGCAUGAUUAGGUAAAAUUUUUUUCCCUUCAUGCUCCUUUCCAGUUUUUGUUGGCACGAAAUCAUUAGCACAAUUGUUCCUGUUUUCAUUUAUUUUCCUUUUAUCUAUGGCUGACUUGUUAGAUUCCUCUGACUCACUCACUAUAAUCUCAGAAGAAGGAACACUGACUACGGCAACUUCUACAUCAUCACUAGCAACAUUUCCCAUGAAACCAUCAGCUGGGAAUAGAACUCCCUUGGCUAUAACUUGGACAAGAUCACCUGAAAGAAUUACAAGCGUUUCAAUCACGUUCCAAUUGGCUACAUUUGCAUCACACUUCCCCUUCUUAGUCAAUUUUGCUUCCUUCAACACAAUACCAUAGUCCUUGUCAACGGAAGCAGUGUGGAAAGUUCCAGAAUAGACAGAGCCAUCCCUGACAUGGACAUCAACGGGCAUUCCAAUUAUACAAAUGGUAGCAAACAACAACGCUUCGCUUAAACAAGUAUCAGUGUCAGCUUCUGCCCUGUUUCUGUUACCCAUCACUGUGUCUCUAUCUAUUUUGGGCUGUGUGAAAAGCUUUGUAUAUAGCUGCAGACGCUAGAAAAUUGGCUAAUGGCUCCGGAAGAAACAGGGGUUGAAAGAGGAGAUCUGAGGAGUGAGCAAAUGUCUGUCUCGUGUGUCCGUUUCGCGCUGUAUAACAAAUAUACGAGGGAAUUGGAAAUACCUUGACGUCCGUCUUAGUUCUUCUGUUUAAGCAGCUUCUCCGGCUUUUAAU